rnacentral:rRNA from 1 species
GACGAACGCUGGCGGCGUGCUUAACACAUGCAAGUCGAACGGAAGGGCCCUGCUUGCAGGGUGCUCGAGUGGCGAACGGGUGAGUAACACGUGGGUGAUCUGCCCCUUACUUUGGGAUAAGCCUGGGAAACUGGGUCUAAUACUGGCUAGGACCAUGCUGUAGGCGGUGUGGUGGAAAGAUUAGUUUCGGUAAGGGAUGAGCUCGCGGCCUAUCAGCUUGUUGGUGGGGUAAUGGCCUACCAAGGCGUCGACGGGUAGCCGGCCUGAGAGGGUGGACGGCCACAUUGGGACUGUGAUACGGCCCAGACUCCUACGGGAGGCAGCAGUGGGGAAUAUUGCACAAUGGGCGCAAGCCUGAUGCAGCGACGCCGCGUGGGGGAUGACGGCCUUCGGGUUGUAAACUCCUUUCAGCCAUGACGAAGCCCUUGUGGUGACGGUAGUGGUAGAAGAAGCACCGGCUAACUACGUG